AGCGAACGUUAGCGGCGGGCCUAACACAUGCAAGUCGAGGGGUGGUAGCAAUACUACACCGGCGCACGGGUGCGUAACGCGUAUGCAAUCUACCUUUAUCUGGGGGAUAGCCCGGGGAAACCCGGAUUAAUACCGCAUGACACAUAGAGGAUACCUAUUUUUUAAUGUUAAAGAUUAUCGGUGGUAGAUGGGCAUGCGUC
rnacentral:rRNA from 1 species